rnacentral:rRNA from 1 species
CAGGCCAACGAUCGAGCCAGCUUGCUGGUGAAGUGACUGAACGAGGUUCCAGGAAAAGCCACUAAGCUUCAGCUAUACACGACCGUACCGCAAACCGACACUGGUGCGCGAGAUGAGUAUUCUAAGGCGCUUGAGAGAACUCAGGAGAAGGAACUCGGCAAAUUGACACCGUAACUUCGGAAGAAGGUGUGCCCUAUUAGUGUGAAGUGAACAACGGAGCAUGAAUGGGUUGCAAAAAAUCGGUGGCUGCGACUGUUUAUUAAAAACACAGCACUCUGCAAACACGAAAGUGGACGUAUAGGGUGUGACGCCUGCCCGGUGCUGGAAGAUUAAAUGAUGGGGUGCAAGCUCUUGAUUGAAGUCCCAGUAAACGGCGGCCGUAACAAUAACGGUCCUAAGGUAGCGAAAUUCCUUGUCGGGUAAGUUCCGACCUGCACGAAUGGCGUAACGAUGGCCACACUGUCUCCUCCUGAGACUCAGCGAAGUUGAAAUGUUUGUGAUGAUGCAAUCUCCCCGCGGAAAGACGGAAAGACCCCAUGAACCUUUACUGUAGCUUUGUAUUGGACUUUGAACAGAUCUGUGUAGGAUAGGUGGGAGGCUUUGAAGCAGGGUCGCUAGAUCUUGUGGAGCCAACGUUGAAAUACCACCCUGGUGUGUUUGAGGUUCUAACCUAGGUCCAUUAUCUGGAUCGGGGACAGUGCAUGGUAGGCAGUUUGUCUGGGGCGGUCUCCUCCCAAAGCGUAACGGAGGAGUUCGAAGGUACGCUAGUUACGGUCGGACAUCGUGACGAUAGUGCAAUGGCAUAAGCGUGCUUAACUGCGAGACUGACAGGUCGAGCAGAUGCGAAAGCAGGACAUAGUGAUCCGGUGGUUCUGUAUGGAAGGGCCAUCGCUCAACGGAUAAAAGGUACUCUGGGGAUAACAGGCUGAUACCGCCCAAGAGUUUAUAUCGACGGCGGUGUUUGGCACCUCGAUGUCGGCUCAUCUCAUCCUGGGGCCGUAGCCGGUCCCAAGGGUAUGGCUGUUCGCCAUUUAAAGAGGUACGUGAGCUGGGUUUAAAACGUCGUGAGACAGUUUGGUCCCUAUCUUCCGUGGGCGCUGCAGAUUUGAGGAAGCCUGCUCCUAGUACGAGAGGACCGGAGUGGACACACCUCUGGUGUAUCGGUUGUCACGCCAGUGGCAUUGCCGAGUAGCUAAGUGUGGAAGAGAUAACCGCUGAAAGCAUCUAAGCGGGAAACUCGUUUCAAGAUGAGAUCUGCCGGGGCCUUGAGCCCCCUGAAGAGUCGUUCAAGACCAGGACGUUGAUAGGUCAGGUGUGGAAGCGCAGUAAUGCGUUAAGCUAACUGAUACUAAUUGCUCGUGCGGCUUGACCCG